UUUUUAUUUAAAACUGCUUCGAAAAAAACGUGAGAGUUUUUACUCUUAAACUCUAAAUAAAGCGUUUUCCUCUUACAUAUCUCCAGAGAUAUGUCUCUGAUAGCUCCAUCUCUCGGAAUAAUAGUGAACUAAAAUUUCGGUGAAAUUGAAAUUUCAUUGAAACAUUUACAGGCUUUAUAAUAUUUCGUAGUGGAGUUGUGAGGUAUAUGCACUAAUAUUUGUUGUACUAUAAAACAUGAAAAACCCAUCUCUGAACUUUGGCUUCACACUCAGACGGAUUCAGUAAUUAUUUUUGGAGAAAAAAUCACGCAUAAAAUGUAUCAAUAGAGGAAAUAUGAUUUGAUUUUUCGAAAUAUACCGUUCGGAAAUUAUGGAAUGAGUUGAGUAGCCACCUACAGGAUUAAUUUCGAACUAAAUUCUAUAGUUCUUCAAAAUGGCGGGUUGUUUACGUUUGUGUUCAAAUUCAAAAAUUCAAUCUCAUAAAUAUUACUUUUCUUAGAAGUUUUAGUUGGAAAACAUAUAUUUCUAUUAAUUUCUAUAGGCAUGUCUACAAGGAAGCAAAGAAAAAAUCCUUCCCACAGUAUUUUUGGAAGCCUAUGGCUUCAAAUGAGAAGCAACUGGUUCAACAGGUGAAUUAUACAUUUCGAAAUGAAUUGUAGAACAGGGCACUUGUCGUUACAACGGUUAUCAAAGCUAAGAUCUUAAAUGGUGAUAGCCGCACAUUUCCCAAAGUUGCUGGCUAUAAAAUGGAUGGAACUGCUGGAGGAUGUAGAAUCAGAAGUAUCUUACUCUAAUCGUACUCAGAACAGAGCUGCUAAUAAUUUCUACUGGAUUUCCUCGAUUCUCAUGUGAACCGUGGUUUCAGAUUAAUUUAAAAAGUUACUGGAACUUUACAAGAAUGCCGAGCAACCUUGUCAUUGGUGUUUAUCAAAAACCAUUAGGAUUAGGAUGAGGGUUCAGAAGGACUUAAGCCAAUAAGAUGAAGAUAACGGUUAAGGCAAGGUCUGGGCUCUCUUUCUUACAAUGGUGAUAGCUCCACAUUUCCCAGAUUUCCUGGUAAAAUGAAUGGGGUGCUCGAUGAUGUAGAAUCUGAAGACUCCCAGAACAGAACUGCUUGGAUUUCUACUGCAUUUUCUUGUUUCUCAUUUAUACGGUGGUUGGAUUAUAACUGCAGAUUAAUAUGAAAAGCAACUGGAAUUUCAAGAGAAUGCCAAGCAGCCUUCGUCAUUGCUGUUUAUGAUAUAAUAUACCAUUAGGAUUAGAAUGAGGAGAGGAGAGAUACUCAAGCCAAAUGGAUACAGAAAAACAUUGAGAUGUUGCAGUAUUGUUGCAUUUGGUUUG